UACGUAGGGGGCAAGCGUUGUCCGGAAUCAUUGGGCGUAAAGAGCGCGUAGGCGGCCCUGUAAGUCCGCUGUGAAAGUCAAUGGCUCAACCCUUGAAUGCCGGUGGAUACUGCAGGGCUAGAGUCCGGAAGAGGCGAGUGGAAUUCCUGGUGUAGCGGUGAAAUGCGCAGAUAUCAGGAGGAACACCGAUGGCGAAGGCAGCUCGCUGGGACGGUACUGACGCUGAGGCGCGAAAGCGUGGGGAGCAAACAGG
rnacentral:rRNA from 1 species